rnacentral:lncRNA from 1 species
AAUUAUUAAAAAAUAGCAAAUGACAAAAAUAAAAAAUAUUAAAAAUCAUUUUUAGAAACUAGAAUUAAAAAGAGAAAUAAUGCAAUUGGUCCCAUAUUUUUUGGAGUUAAAAUGAGAGAGUUAUGAAUUUUUGAAUUAAAAUGAAAUAAAAGAAAUAAAACAGAAAUUAGAAAAAUCAGAAAAAAGGAGAGGCGUUGGAUCUAAGCUCAUUAAUUGAGCUGGCACAUCCAAAGGUGGAGAGAUGCGCGCGCACGAUGGUCCCAAGUCAAUGAGUAACAUAAUGAAUUAAAAUAAGUCAUAUC